rnacentral:rRNA from 1 species
UACGAAGGGGGCUAGCGUUGCUCGGAAGCACUGGGGGUAAAGGGUGCGUAGGCGGGUCGUUAAGUCAGGGGUGAAAUACUGGAGCUCAACUCCAGAACUGCCCUUGAUACUGAGGGUCUUGAGUAUGGGAGAGGUGAGUGGAACUGCGAGUGUAGAGGUGAAAUUCGUAGAUAUUAGGAAGAACACCAGUGGCGAAGGCGGCUCACUGGUCCGGUACUGACGCUGAGGUGCGAAAGCGUGGGGAGCAAACAGG